CGGGCUAAUGCCACGAUCACGUUGCUUUUCUCUCCAGCCCAGUGCACCACCAUCUGAUUGUGGGAGUCAUUCAGACUGACCUGAAAGAGACCAAAAGGAAAUCAGGACCUGUGGCCAAAAGAUCACAUACUUUUUGAACUUCUUUCUAAACGAGUGUGUCGGGGAUGGAGCAUCGUUACUCAACUUUAGCUCACCGUGCGCUGACUGACGAGCAUGCAUUCCAAGACAGGCUUUCCAGAACACUGGAGCUCAAGAGUUACUGAACCUGUGCGGACACCAGCAAGCUCCAGGGCCCCCUCUGAGAAGCAGGAUGAGGCCUCCCCAAACCCAGCCGUCCCACCGCUCCUGCUGAAUAGCAUCAGGAACAAGCCAGGUUGGACAGACAUCUGAAGACUAUCACAGAACCUUCUCGGGCCCUCGGGCGAGGAGGUCCAGCUUGAGGACCUCAGCACCUGCCUCUGAGCCUGGACUGCUCACCCACCCGGGCCAACACCAACUCUGGGACUACUGAAGAGUUCAAGUUGAGCAAACCAACCCUUCUCACAGCAGAUCUGGAGCAGAAAGCCCGCCCUCCUCCACAGCCUCUCCCUCUUCCCUUCCGUUUCUCCUCCACCCUGAUGUGUUCCACCCACUCCUUGGGGGUGCUCUCAGAUGUGACAAGGGAGAAGAAAACCACCUGGGCCACAAGCUUGGCAGCCAGCCCCAGUGGGGAGAUAAUCUGUAACGGCCCUGCUUCGGGUCGUAAGCACCUGCAUCUCAUUUGAUCCAAGAACCAAGCGUUUAAAUAUAUAUGUAUAUCUGAAGUGAGACCGCUUCAAAUCAAAAAGACCCUUGAUAUUUUUUUAGGAAAAUAUGUCAUUCCAAAACCCCACUUCUCACUCCCAGGAGAUAAGUCCCCGCAAGCGUCAAAAGAAACGUGCAAAUCAAAAGCUAGAAAUAAAUUAUUUAACUCAAAAAGCUGCUAAGGGUCUGUCCCCAGCAGCUCAAACCUCUUACUUCCUCUUCCCUUCACCUCCCUCCCAACCUAGGCUUCCAGAAAGAGACUGGAAAUACUGAUGGAUCAGAGAGCCACCAGCACAGGCACCUCGGGUCCUCGGGCUAAAAUCUUCUCCCCUGCAAAGCCAUCUGCACCCUAGGAACCAGGAGGGAGCAAGGAGAGAACCAUGUAAAUGGCACUAGGAAAGGGGGUUAGGAACCUAGGAGCAUCACCCGAAGUUCACGCGGGGUCUGAGAUGAAAAGAUCCUCCAUAUUCAAUCUGGCCAUCCUCAGAGCGGCGGGCACAGCCAUCCCUCUGGCAGGUUAAUAAUCAGAGGACACUUUGAACAGGCUACAAAGAGGUAAGGGAUCAGAGUGGAGAAGAGGUCUGACGACACUUGCUGAGGUCUUUGUAGCAGAGGGCAGAGCUUUUGUCAACUGAGCCUACGGGAUGAGAGAUGAAUGGACACAAAAGAGAGGCAUCAAACUAU